CCGGUAAAGGGGCCGACUCUAAUGGGGACUGCCCGGUGAACAAACCGGGAGGAAGGAGGGGACGACGUCUGGUCAGCAUGGCCCUUACGGCCUGGGCGACACACGUGCUACAAUGCCCACUACAAAGCGAUGCCACCCGGCAACGGGGAGCUAAUCGCAAAAAGGUGGGCCCAGUUCGGAUUGGGGUCUGCAACCCGACCCCAUGAAGCCGGAAUCGCUAGUAAUCGCGGAUCAGCCAUGCCGCGGUCGAAUACGUUCCGGGCCUU
rnacentral:rRNA from 1 species